GUUCCUCUGCGGCAGACGUGGUGCCCGGGAUUGCAGUCCAAGCUGCGGCCGCCCCCGGCCAGGAGCCCGCCGCUUGGACUGGGAUCGAGGGCACCACCGCUUCGGCAGAG
rnacentral:pre_miRNA from 1 species